UACGUAGGGUGCGAGCGUUGUCCGGAAUUAUUGGGCAUAAAGAGCUCGUAGGCGGCUUGUCGCGUCGGAUGUGAAAGCCCGGGGCUUAACUCCGGGUCUGCAUUCGAUACGGGCAGGCUAGAGUUCGGUAGGGGAGAUCGGAAUUCCUGGUGUAGCGGUGAAAUGCGCAGAUAUCAGGAAGAACACCCGUGGCUAAGGCGGCUCUCUAGUACGGUACUGACGCUGAGACGCGAAAGCGUGGGGAGCGAACAGG
rnacentral:rRNA from 1 species